AAAAAGACAAACCCUGUAUUUUCAUGUCCAACGUUUAACUGUUCAUCUUAUAUGAAAUUUUUUUAUAAUUAGUCUUUUUAUUGUUGUUAGAUGAUAAAACAUGAUUAAUAUUUUAUACGUGACUUGUCUCUUUAUUUUUUUUCAUAAUUUUUUUAAAUAAGACNUAUGAAUGUGGACAAUGCUAGAAAGUCUUAUA
rnacentral:pre_miRNA from 1 species